GGCGGACGGGUGAGUAAUGCAUAGGAAUCUGCCCGAUAGUGGGGGAUAACGUGGGGAAACUCACGCUAAUACCGCAUACGUCCUACGGGAGAAAGCAGGGGAUCUUCGGACCUUGCGCUAUCGGAUGAGCCUAUGUCGGAUUAGCUAGUUGGUGAGGUAACGGCUCACCAAGGCGACGAUCCGUAGCUGGUCUGAGAGGAUGAUCAGCCACACUGGGACUGAGACACGGCCCAGACUCCUACGGGAGGCAGCAGUGGGGAAUAUUGGACAAUGGGGGAAACCCUGAUCCAGCCAUGCCGCGUGUGUGAAGAAGGCCUUCGGGUUGUAAAGCACUUUCAGCGAGGAAGAAGGCCUGAGGGCUAAUACCCUUCAGGAAGGACAUCACUCGCAGAAGAAGCACCGGCUAACUCCGUGCCAGCAGCCGCGGUAAUACGGAGGGUGCGAGCGUUAAUCGGAAUUACUGGGCGUAAAGCGCGCGUAGGUGGCUUGAUAAGCCGGUUGUGAAAGCCCCGGGCUCAACCUGGGAACGGCAUCCGGAACUGUCAGGCUAGAGUGCAGGAGAGGAAGGUAGAAUUCCCGGUGUAGCGGUGAAAUGCGUAGAGAUCGGGAGGAAUACCAGUGGCGAAGGCGGCCUUCUGGACUGACACUGACACUGAGGUGCGAAAGCGUGGGUAGCAAACAGGAUUAGAUACCCUGGUAGUCCACGCCGUAAACGAUGUCGACUAGCCGUUGGGUUCCUUGAGAACUUUGUGGCGCAGUUAACGCGAUAAGUCGACCGCCUGGGGAGUACGGCCGCAAGGUUAAAACUCAAAUGAAUUGACGGGGGCCCGCACAAGCGGUGGAGCAUGUGGUUUAAUUCGAUGCAACGCGAAGAACCUUACCUACCCUUGACAUCGUGCGAACUUGGUAGAGAUACCUUGGUGCCUUCGGGAACGCACAGACAGGUGCUGCAUGGCUGUCGUCAGCUCGUGUUGUGAAAUGUUGGGUUAAGUCCCGUAACGAGCGCAACCCUUGUCCCUAUUUGCCAGCGAUUCGGUCGGGAACUCUAGGGAGACUGCCGGUGACAAACCGGAGGAAGGUGGGGACGACGUCAAGUCAUCAUGGCCCUUACGGGUAGGGCUACACACGUGCUACAAUGGUCGGUACAAAGGGUUGCAAUACCGCGAGGUGGAGCUAAUCCCAUAAAGCCGGUCUCAGUCCGGAUCGGAGUCUGCAACUCGACUCCGUGAAGUCGGAAUCGCUAGUAAU
rnacentral:rRNA from 1 species